CCCUAUUAUAAAAAUUAUUAUGAUUAGUAUAUAAUGUAAAAUUAAAAUUUUUGGCGGUUAAUUAUUAUUAGGGGAGUUUGUUUAUGUAAUUACUCAUUAUAUUUUAUUAAUAUUGUGUUUAUUUAUUUCCGUUGGGGGUGUGAAUUGUAAUAGUUUAUGCUUAAAAUUCAGGUCAAGAUGUAGCAAUAAUUAAAUAAAGAAUUAGCUACAAUAAUGAAAUUAUGGAUUUAAAUUAAUGAAAUAAGUGAGGAAAUUGAACUUAAAUGUAAUUUAAAUUAGGAGGUUUUUAUGAAAUAUUUUGAUUAAUGUA
rnacentral:rRNA from 1 species